GACACGGCCAGCAGCAUCAGAUGGUCUGACUCGAGAGGCACAAGGCCGUAUUCCUACAGCCAGCCUCAUGUGCCGGGUCAAUCAACAGUGCCAUCAGGAAAAGUCAUGCCGGAGGGUUGCGUGUUGGCUGGUCUCUCUUCCUAUGAAGCAGAGACGAAAGAUGGGAGCUACACGGUUAAUACAGAAAGCGCUGGCUCAGCCAAAGGGACCGAAAUAGGCCCUUGAAACAGACCUGCCACACUGUGGAUGAGCAAGAAGACGGAGGUAAAAUACGACAGCCCCAGGCCAUCUAAAGAACAGCAUAGCUGAGUGCCCGGCAUAGACUUGAGUGUGGAAAAGUGUCGUGCAAGAGAGGAAGCCUGCGUGAGAAGCCGACUCAGCCCCCAGAGCAGACUCUGCCAUCUCCUAGCUGCGGGAGGGAAGACUCUCUAGGAAACUCCCAAUACAAAGGAACAACUCUGCUUCAAAGUGUCCCGUGCAAAGCUACAUCACAGGAGAAUCUGCCUUCAACAAGGUGGCGCUUGCGGUAAAGAACCAGCGUGACUUUGCAGGAGAUGUAAGAGACUCUGAUUUGAUCCCUGGGGCAGGAAGAUCCCCUGGAGGAGAGCAUGGCAACCCACUCCAGUAUUCUUACCUAGAGAAUCCCAUGGACAGAGGAGCCUGGCGGGCUUCAGUCCAUGGGGCCGCAGAGAGUCGGACACGACCGAGCGGCUAUGCACCCAGGCUGGACAGGAAAAUCACUGAUUAGGACCUGAGAUUUCUAUAUUUAUUUAAGGUGCUCAUUUAUAAUGCUAA